UUUAAUCUUGUUAAGCUAAUUGUGGCUAGCAUGAAUUUGUUGCAGUCUGUGGUUAUUUAAAGAGGACUCUCAUUCUGUUCUGGAGUUGGGGUAGUGGUGUUUUCGUCAUCAUUGGAUGGAGAGAACGAAUUGUCUUAUGGUAUCGCUCCAUCACUCCUCCGAGGCUCUCAAUUUCCUCCGUUGGCCUUUCUGCUACACUAAAUGGAUUUUGAGAGAACAUCCUGUCCCUGAGAAGUUUAAGAAUGUUGGAGUGGAGAUAAGUCAACCCAGAUGUGGCACCUUAAAGUGACAAUUAGUGGAAGGGUUCUUUUGAAGACUCUAACCUGGAGUACAUGCUGACUUUGGCUCUUUGCGGGAAUGGGACUCGCUCUCAGGGUUCUAUAACUGACCAUUGUUCGGUAUGCCAAGAGUUCAGCCCGAGAUUCCGGCUCAAAUUAAAAAGUCUAAGAUCUCAGGACUCUGGAGACAGGUGGAUCGAGGGACAGUGUCACGGCAGGAGACCCGUGAGUCGUCAGGGUUGUCAGGAUAUUUGCUGUGGGCCCGAAGACCCGAGAGCUUUGUGAUCUUUGGGCACAGAGCUCGGAUAAAGCGACAUGAUGAAUCUUUAACAUCAUAAACCAGUGAGUUGUUUGUUAUGUCUCCCUGCUUGCUGGUGAAAAAUGGAGACACCUCCUUCUCCCUUAUUAGGGAGUGAGAGAGAACCUACGGUAUGUCAAAUGCUUGGUGCAAUGCAAAUUCUUUGGGGUAACUACAAGUCUAUGUCUUUGCAAUUGCUUUGUUCACACUGAGUGCUCAGUGAUGGUACCAGUGCUUGUUUUUUUUUGCCAAUGGAGGGAGGAGGAAUUGCUGCUCGCAGCUACUUACCCGUGGGAGGCAGGGGAACUGGGCGGGACUUUGGGGUUCUAACAUUAUCUGUCAUUUAUUCUUUGGGGCACUUCUCUGUUUUUGUGGAUGUUUGCGAAGAAAAAAACAUUUCAGGAUGUAUAUUGUAUACAUUUCUCUGACAUUAAAUUGGACCUUUGAACCUUUGAAGAUAGCGUCCAGCUAUUUAUAGGAAGGAGAGAGAAAGAUAUUUCCUUGUGAAUUCCUAUGAAUGUACUAAGUGGAAUAAUUGCACACUAUUGGUUAAUAAA